CCCCCCCCCCAAACCAAAAAAAAAAAAAACCCCUCUACAAAACAAAACGCCUCUCCUCAAACAUACAACUGCUGCAAGCCUGCAACACUCCCAACUCAGAGCCUCUCGAAUGCCCUCCUUCCUCCCAACUCUUCGACAGUGUAGAGUUCCUUUGAAUUAGCCUCUCGAUUCUCUUCCGUUCUCAGUCCAAAACAGAAUCCCAGGGAAGAAAUUGCCAAAGUCAUCCAUCCUAUUCACUACGUGUUGCAUAGGGCAAAGGCAGUUGAGGCAUCAAAGGUGUGAAGGUAUCAAGGAUUUCUACAAAGGAAAAAAAGGCUACCCAGGUAAGGUGUUUCAUAAAAUGCCCUCUCCAUUUUGAAUUUAAGUGACUUUGGGGAAAACAUAUGCAUCAUGAUUUGCGUUAUUCUCCUACGUGUGACCUUGUUUUUUGAAAAAGUAGUCAUAUUUCGGUUAGGAUUGUAUUUCCCAUAGGUGUCCUACUAAUACUUAAAUCCAUAACCAUAUGAUCCCACCACAGAAUAAUUUUCCCCCUCCCAAAAAGAACCAUGGCGUAAUUUUUUGGUAUGUCUAUACGUUUGUGCCCUGACUCUUCAUCAAACUAAAGUUCCACGCUUUAAAAUAAAUACAAGUUUUAACCUAUGCGUUUUUAAACCUUCAAUAUAGAACUCAUCACGAAUAAUAAUAGAAUUCGUGGUCGUUACAUUUUGGCACUCAACAUACUUCCAUUUGCGACUCGAUUAUAAAUGAGACAUGAAACUGGCAUUGAAGAUAAAGACACCCUGAAAACCUUGAAAUCACUAGCUAGACUAAGUUCGAUUACAGAUGACUAGAAGGUUGAGAAGAAGCCGUGUCUACUCCAGGCCGACCUUGGCAGGCACAUAUUUGUAGCAAAUGUGAAAACACUGGCAAACAAACUGGUUGUCAUCUUGGCAUUUCCCUAUCCUUCGGGGUGCAGCUUCUCGCAAAAUUGUUCACAAUUUGGUUGUUUGCAGGAGAACGGUGGCCGAGACCUCUUCUCAUGCUUACAUAUAUGUCAUGCCCUCGAUUUUUAACUAAAAUAAUAAUAUAUUUUCUACAAACAAAAGUCUUUCUCUCAAUUAUAUUUACCCUUGAAUGUCGUGUAAAUCCAAACAGCAAAUCAAGUCGCUUCUUCUUCUCUCUAAUUUUUUUUUUUUUUUUUUUUACAUAAAGUCUCCCAAACAUUAACAAUUGAAUGGGUUUCAUAAUAAUCAAUGAGAGGACUUUAUACAUAGCUUUACAUAUGAUCUAAUCAAAAGGUAUAACCUUCAAUUGCAAGUAAAGUACAUGACAUGAAGUAAACUCGAUGAUAAACCACUCCUUAAAGAUUCCAAUGAAGCUCUCAAGUGACGUCUCAAUGUGCACUCCAUGCAAUCCAAGCUAAGUGUCAUGACGAGUACCUAAAAGGAUAGGGUGAGCUACACUAGCUCGUAAAGAUAUCCAUACCUAAAUUAUAUGCAUAAGUGAAGACAGAUAUCAAGGAAAAACAUUUUUUAAAAGCAUAUUGGUUUUAUCAAAAGUGAAACUCAAAAUACCAUACUCAUGUUGGGAAGUAUUUAACUCCAUUUCUCAAACACUGACACUCUCACCUACACACACAAAUAUUCUUGAAAUCUCAGCUCACCGUUACGGCGUUACCCAAAUCAAUCCUUGCUUUUUCAUUUCCAUUUCAGAGACCUAAAGGUUAAUCUAAGUUCUUUAAUGGAAGAAUCAUUUUUCUUGUCUCAAAUAACGAGCCAACCUCUCACCAAAAAUACACACACUAUGCAUAGUUAGAGUACGAAAUAACAAUGACACAUAGAAUAGUAGUGCACCUCGGCAAUAAGGAAACUCACCCGUAAAUCCCAAAUCUUUCAUACACCACAACUCCAUGUUUUAAGGUAAACAAAAUAUAACAACUCUCGUAGAGAAUAAACAUAACUCCUUUGAAUUUCCUCAUAAGUUACCAAUAACGUCAUCGGUGUUCCACAUUAAUUGCUCCUCCUUCAAAAUCGUCUCUCAUUCUCAAACUCUCAUUUAUGUUCUCGUGAGCAAAUGCUCCUGCCGGGCGUUAUGGGACCCGCUUCCCCUGCCCUAGCACCACACCCGUUGGUGGGCCUAGUCUGUAUCAUGUGCGAGUGCUCCUGCCGGGCGUUAUGGGACCCGCUUCCACUACCCUAGCACCACACCCGUUGGUGGGCCUAGUUUGUGUCAUGAGCGAAUGCUCCUGCCGGGCGUUAUGGGACCCGCUUCCCUUUUCUUGUUUUAAAAUACACACACACACACACACACACACACACACACACACACACAUAUAUAUAUAUAUAUAUAUAUAUCUCCUUAGCUAACCGUUUCACAUCACACUUCCCACAAUUCUCAUCGUUAAUCUCGUCACCAACCAUUUACUCUAGUAUCAAGUAUUAACUAAUUGAUCACAAACUCAACAUCAUGCAAGUAGCUACGAACGACUUCACCUUCCAAUUCAUAGUUCAAGAGGAAAUUAAUAGUUGUAACUCGCAUUUUCAUUUCAUAAAUAUAAUCAAUCAUCAUCAUUCAAGUAUUCCCAAUCCAACAUUAAUAAACAACCAACCAUCUCAACCUUAUACUUUCACUAGGUGUCGACAAACAUUUCCCAAGUAUGAUAGCUAACUACCCUGAGGCUCGGUAGACCAUUCAAAUAGUCAAACGCACAUUUGUGUCUCACUCAAAUGAUUCUAAGGGCAAAGGAUGCCCAAUGCAUAUAACGUAUCUACCUCGAACACUUAGGAGCGUACCAAAUCACCCGUAAUAUUCAAAUACGACAUAACCUCCAAAAUCGGUAUGGAUUCUAACAACCAACCUACCGUACUUUAACUAUAACUUCUUAUAGAUUUAGAAUUUGAUUAUAAGACUACCACCAUUAGAAAGUAGAUUUCCAUACAUCAACUUCGAUAUAUAACAUGACCAAAACGGAGUCCGGAUGAUAAAGUUAUGAUCGUCCGAUGUUUUCAAAAAAAGCAGAUUUUUCGUUCCCUACCGGUAGGACACAACCUCCUACCGGUAGAAGACCAGAAUUUCACAAAAAUAAACACUACUGGACAGCAUUUCAACCAGUAGGGCCAAAACUCCUACCGGUAGGACUUGGGUUUUCAGCGUACGAUUUCUAGUUUCGACAGAUUUCUCUCAACAACAAAUACGGACGUUUAAACAUUCUAAACACAUCAAACCAACUCAUAAAUACAUAAAAGAGGAGCGAAAUCCCUACAUGUCAAAUUGGCGAAGUUAAUCAUUCACAUUAGACUAUAUCCAAUCAAACAACAUGAAUUCCAGGACGGGAACAAGUAAAACUGAUUGAAAAAUCAUAACCCUUUUAUCUUAAACCCAAAAAUAUUGAAACCAACGCCAAAAGUUGCACAACUACAAGCCCUACGCUCAGUAAAAAUCCCAGGUUCAAAAACGAGCGGAGAUUAACCCAACAAUCAAAGGAAAAACAGUUUCGCAACCAUUUUCGCCCUAGUCGACCAACCUACUUUAGAAAUUCACCAAAAAUUGUAUACUUAACCGAAUCACUUGAUUCCAACGCCAAUCCUUCUUAACUUAAAUAUGCAGCUCCUGUAAAAGACCCAAAGCCACCAAAUUGUUCAUCAUGCCCAGAAAAUUAAAAGAAGACAGCCACGCACAGAUUCGCGUAUCCAGGAAACAGCCGGUAUUCAAAAAUUCAUAACUAAUUGUGUGAUUAUCGGUUUUUCAUGAUCUUGGUACCGAAAUCUUCGUAUUGAAACGUACUUUAACUGUUAUGAAGACUCCAAAAAUUGAUUCCUAGCAGAAGGGCUCCCAAAAGACAGAUUUCCAAAACCCACGAAAAUUUCAGCAUACACUAGAUUUAUUCAAGACUCGAAAUAGAUGAACAAACUUGAUUCUUGUACAUCAAACUAACACUUAAACAUGUAAAGAAGGCAGGAGAUCCCUACCUCAAAGGUUGAAGUUAAAACCCCAAGAAUCUCCAGGCAAAACCUCUCCCGAAAACACCUCCUCCAAGCUUUUCAACGCAAUCAAAGGCUAGAACUCGACUGGAAUCAGAACUUGGGUUUUCGCCACUCAUUUCCCUCAAGGCUAAAGUUUGGUUUGAACAAAUUGCCGGUAUUUUGGUGCUAAAAGUUGGCCAGUUCUAGCUUUAUGGUACGCACUGUUGUUGUCAAUUUUCUCGAGCUUGAUAGCAUUGUUUGACAACGGUAAGCGAUUAGAGUGCACUGUGUUGAACCAUACAAGUGUGAGACAGGUGAAGGGUGACUACUUCGAUGCUCAAUUUGCUGAUGAAGAUUCUCGACUGCAACUGAUGCCUUUUUUGUUUGAGUAAGAUUUGAAUGAAUAUGAAAGGUACUGGCUAGUUACAUUUUUGUGUCAUGUUGUUAAUAUAUUUUUUGACAAAAUAGUUUUUAUUUGUUUUUUUUGUUGGCAUUGGGUUACAUAAAUCCGGUUUGUUGUAAUGUUCACAUUUGACUUAUGGAACAAGUCACCAGAUUUCAUCUGUAGUUGCCUAGCUGGAGUCUUCCCGUUUCAAUGUGACGACAUGAGAUGAAAUAUUUCAAAAGA